GACGAACGCUGGCGGCGUGCCUAACACAUGCAAGUCGAACGGAAAGGCCGUGCUUUUGUGGGGAGCUCGAGGGGCGAAGGGGUGAGUUACACGUGAGUAACCUGCCCUUGACUUUGGGAUGUCCUCAGGAAGCUGGGGCUAAUACCGGCUAGGAGCUCCUGCUGCUGGGUGGGGGUGGGAAAGUUUCGGUGGUUGGGGAUGGACUCGCGGCUUAACAGCUUGUCGGGGGGGUAGUGGCUUAGCAAGGCAUUGAAGGGUAGCCGGCCUGGGAGGGUGACCGGCCACGUUGGGACUGAGAUACGGCCCAGACUCCUACGGUAGGCAAGGGUGGGGAGGAUUGCACAAGGGGCGGAAGCCUGAUGCAGCAACGCCGCGUGGGGGAUGACAGCCAUCGGGUUGGAAAGCGCAGUCGCCUGAGACGAGGCGAUAGUGACGGUACCGGGAGAAGAAGCACCGGCUAACUACGUG
rnacentral:rRNA from 1 species